rnacentral:rRNA from 1 species
CCUACGGGUGGCAGCAGUGGGGAAUAUUGUACAAUGGGCGAAAGCCUGAUCCAGCAACGCCGCGUGAAGGAAGAAGGGUUUCGGCUCGUAAACUUCUAUCAACAGGGACGAAAGAAAUGACGGUACCUGAAGAAGAAGCCACGGCUAACGACGUGCCAGAAGCCGCGGUCAUACGGCGGGGGCAAGCGUUAUCCGGAUUUACUGGGUGUAAAGGGUGCGUAGGGGGCAUGGUAAGCCAGUUGUUAAAGCCUUGGGCUUAACCCGAGGAUUGCAUUUGGAACUAUCAAGCUAGAGUACAGGAGAGGAAAGCGGAAUUCCUAGUGUAGCGGUGAAAUGCGUAGAUAUUAGGAAGAACACC